UCCAAGAGUGGCACCUGGAACGAGUACUGGACGUGGGAUUUCGCAAUGGAGCCCGCUCGUUGGGACAAGGUCGCGAUCGCGUAUUCGUACGUAUGCGAAAAGGAGAAAUUAUGUUUGUGAUUAUGCGCAUUCAGUGCGCGCGUUCAGAUGCCAUGUGUCGCGAUUGCGUGCACUCCACCUGUUGGUUGACAGCCACGACGAGGAAGGUUGCCGCCGGGAUUGAAAAGUUUUUGCUUCAGCCCUGCCGGGCUGGGAAUGUGCUCAAGUUAUGCCAUCCCCCCUUACCAGCCAUCGAGGUUCUACCUCCGCUUACUGCAGUUUCCAUUAUUUCAGAGGAAAAUGAAAUGGUUCUUCCCGAUCUAAUACUGGACAUUUUGUCAAAAGUCAUGUUUUACUUGGAUACUGUUUCGCAAAGAAAGUUAAAACGGGUGUGCGUACUGUGGAACGCUUUACUUUCCAACACGGAAUCGUCGAAUGAUAUUGUAAUUGAUUUCCGCGCUCUAUGUCCGCAAUUACAACAACGCUCCGAGACGGAAGGCUACCGCCUCGGACUACUGCCUCCAUCGGGUCGUAAAUACCAGGACACAAACGCUAGCAUUAGUUAACAUAAAUGAUCGUGCGGAAACCUUUGAUACGGUUAUUUUACUCGUUGCGGAUGUACUCAGUCUGAAAAAAGUAAUCCCUUUAAUUAUCGUCAAAAACUGUUCGGCAACUAUAGUGAAGUCCUCGAGCGGAAUGUGCAGAAGAAGCAUUACUUCCGACUGGCGAAAGAUUCAAUUUCAGUUACUCCUCCUUAAGAAGGUCUGUUACCAUGUACUGGUGCUGAAUCUAGUGGCCGACUGCGGUUCAUGGAGUGAUGUGUUAUUCCCACGUCGAAGCCGAAAGAAUGACGGAUUGAAGCAGCAGGAUAGCCUAAUCAUAACUAUACCGAAACUACGGUUGGAUCAAAGCGACCGCGACGCCGAUAGCAUAGUGCAGCUUAAACAAGCUAUGGAACGCAAUUGCCCACCGGUUGAUCAGUCCGUUAGGAAACAGAUCAAGGUUCUGCAUGCCAGCUGGGUCAAACGCUUUCCCUAUCCUGGAAGUGAGUGGGAAGGAUUGCGGCGCCUUGUUCAACUCUUGGGAACGUGCGCAGCCGCGGAUCAUGUUCAAUUUGGUGCAGACUGGAAUUGGAUGGACUGUGAGAUAUAUUUUUAGUGGCUUGAAUUUGAGGGAUUUCGACAACCUGCCAAUUGGAAACAUAAUAUUAGCAAUACUUGUUCGCGCUCACCUUAAUGGCCAAAAAUUUAGGCAGUGUUCUUACAAGCUUGUCGUUUCCGGUGUGCCGCUGUGACCGGCGAUUUUCCGCGGCAGAGGUUGACGACAUCGAAAACUUCUCUAUAGUACCGCGUACUUUGGGAAGAUCUUUAGACGUGAAUGCUAUUUGGGAGUCUAUAGCUGGAAUCAGGGACAAUUUUCAAACGCGUAUUUGGCUUUAGUACAGCGCAUCAACAGUUUGGUAAACCUAACUGCGACUGUGAGCCGCUACUUGCAGUACUCGAAAACAGUACCAAGUCAAAAUAACUUUAAAAGGCAAAGAGGUUUCCUCUGCUUUUGUGGGGGGAAGACCAUGUAUGGAAAACCGGAUGCAGUGGAUUUUAU